rnacentral:pre_miRNA from 1 species
UUCCAAAAAAAUUUUGAGUUUUUGCUUGCAACGUUUGACCACUUGUCUUAUUCAAAAAAUUUUGAAAUUAUUAUUUAUUUUAUUUGUGACUUACUUUAUUAUCUAUAGUACUUUAGGUACAACUUUUUGUUUUUAAUAUUUGUAAAAAAAAAUUGAAUAAGACGAGUGGUCAAACGUUACAAUUAAAAACUCAAAAUCCCGUAUAUU